CUAUCAUAUCAUAUUGAAACGCUGGUUCCCGUACGUUCACCGAAGUUGAGCAACAUCGAGCUUCGUCAGUACUUAGAUGGGUGACAGCUUGGGAAUACCAGGUGCUGUAA